CACGUAGGGCGCAAGCGUUGUCCGGAAUUAUUGGGCGUAAAGAGCUCGUAGGUGGCCAACUAAGUCAGACGUGAAAUCCCUCGGCUUAACCGGGGAACUGCGUCUGAUACUGGAUGGCUUGAGUUUGGGAGAGGGAUGCGGAAUUCCAGGUGUAGCGGUGAAAUGCGUAGAUAUCUGGAGGAACACCGGUGGCGAAGGCGGCAUCCUGGACCAACACUGACACUGAGGAGCGAAAGCCAGGGGAGCAAACGGG
rnacentral:rRNA from 1 species